UACGGGGGGAGCAAGCGUUGUUCGGAUUUACUGGGCGUAAAGGGCGCGUAGGCGGCCAGCACAAGUCAGUUGUGAAAUCUCCGAGCUUAACUCGGAAAGGUCAACUGAUACUGUGCGGCUAGAGUGCAGAAGGGGCAACUGGAAUUCUCGGUGUAGCGGUGAAAUGCGUAGAUAUCGAGAGGAACACCUGCGGCGAAGGCGGGUUGCUGGGCUGACACUGACGCUGAGGCGCGAAAGCUAGGGAAGCGAACGGG
rnacentral:rRNA from 1 species